rnacentral:tRNA from 2 species
GGCCAGUUGGUGUAAUGGUUAGCACGUCGGAUUCUGAUUGCGAGGAUCCUUCCGGAGAUGCUGGUUCGAUUCCUGCACAGGCCU